UCCUCCCUCUUUCUUCGUGCUUAACACAUGCAAGUCGAACGGAAAGGCCCUGCUUGCAGGGUGCUCGAGUGGCGAACGGGUGAGUAACACGUGGGUGAUCUGCCCCUUACUUUUGGAUAAGCCUGGGAAACUGGGUCUAAUACUGGAUAGGACCAUGCUGUAGGUGGUGUGGUGGAAAGAUUAGUUUCGGUAAGGGAUGAGCUCGCGGCCUAUCAGCUUGUUGGUGGGGUAAUGGCCUACCAAGGCGUCGACGGGUAGCCGGCCUGAGAGGGUGGACGGCCACAUUGGGACUGAGAUACGGCCCAGACUCCUACGGGAGGCAGCAGUGGGGAAUAUUGCACAAUGGGCGCAAGCCUGAUGCAGCGACGCCGCGUGGGGGAUGACGGCCUUCGGGUUGUAAACUCCUUUCAGCCAUGACGAAGCCCUUGUGGUGACGGUAGUGGUAGAAGAAGCACCGGCUAACUACGUG
rnacentral:rRNA from 1 species